GAAUAAACUUACUGCUGAAAAUGAGCAGCUGAAGGAAACAAAAGAGUUACUAGUUGAGGAACAUGAAGCUGCAAAGAACAUUUCUGAACAAGUUUCUUUGAUUCAAGGGUUCCUUGUUAUUGACAAUGAAUUGGUGAAUAAAAUUACUGCUGAAAAUGAGAAGCUGAAGG